rnacentral:tRNA from 1 species
GCAUCCAUGGUUGAAUGGUUAUAUCGCCCAACUCAUAAUUGGCGAAUUCGUAGGUUCAAUUCCUACUAAGAUACU